UACGUAGGGUGCAAGCGUUGUCCGGAAUUAUUGGGCGUAAAGAGCUCGUAGGCGGUUUGUCGCGUCUGGUGUGAAAAUCCAGGGCUUAACCCUGGACCUGCAUCGGGUACGGGCAGACUAGAGUGCGGUAGGGGAGAUCGGAAUUCCUGGUGUAGCGGUGAAAUGCGCAGAUAUCAGGAGGAACACCAGUGGCGAAGGCAGAUCUCUGGGCCGUAACUGACGCUGAGGAACGAAAGCAUGGGGAGCAAACAGG
rnacentral:rRNA from 1 species